rnacentral:misc_RNA from 1 species
UCUCCGUUGGUGAACCAGCGGAGGGAUCAUUGCUGGAACGCGCUUCGGCGCACCCAGAAACCCUUUGUGAACUUAUACCUUACUGUUGCCUCGGCGCAGGCCGGCCUCACCGAGGCCCCUCGGAAACGAGGAGCAGCCCGCCGGCGGCCAACCAAACUCUUGUUUCUUAGUGAAUCUCUGAGUAAAAAAACAUAAAUGAAUCAAAACUUUCAACAACGGAUCUCUUGGUUCUG